GGGUUUACCCAUUGGUCAGGCUUAAUUGUCUGUACUGGUGAGAUAAAUCUCUACCUUCUGAGGAACUUUCAUGUCAUUAAUUUGGUGUGAUUGGAAAUCAGGACUGUUACUUUGAAAAAAUUAGAGUGUUUAAAGCAGGCUAACGUCUGAAUACAUUAGCAUGGAAUAAUGAAAUAGGACGGACUGAUUCUAUUUCGUUGGUUUCUAGGAUCACCGUA
rnacentral:ncRNA from 2 species